CCUACGGGAGGCAGCAGUGAGGAAUAUUGGUCAAUGGGCUUACGCCUGAACCAGCCAAGUCGCGUGAGGGAAGACUGUCCUAUGGGUUGUAAACCUCUUUUGUCAGGGAGCAAUUGGCGCUACGUGUAGCGUUAUCGAGCGUACCUGAAGAAAAAGCAUCGGCUACAUCCGUGCCAGCAGCCGCGGUAAUACGGAGGAUGCGCGCGUUUUCCGGAUUUUUUGGGUUUAAAGGGUGCGUAGGCGGAAGGCCAAGUCAGCGGUAAAAUCGCGGGGCUCAACCUCGCCCCGCCGUUGAAACUGGCGUUCUUGAGUGGGCGAGAAGUAUGCGGAAUGCGUGGUGUAGCGGUGAAAUGCAUAGAUAUCACGCAGAACUCCGAUUGCGAAGGCAGCAUACCGGCGCCCAACUGACGCUGAAGCACGAAAGCGUGGGUAUCGAACAGGAUUAGAUACCCUUGUAGUC
rnacentral:rRNA from 1 species